CACAGGCACCUGCCGGCAGAGAAUAAAU
rnacentral:piRNA from 1 species